AGGUCAGAAUGAGUGACAGUGUUGAGCUAAUGAAAGAAUAUUGCACUCGUCCCGGCCUAU
rnacentral:pre_miRNA from 1 species